rnacentral:rRNA from 1 species
UACGUAGGGGGCAAGCGUUGUCCGGAAUCAUUGGGCGUAAAGCGCGUGUAGGCGGCCAGAAAAGUCCGCUGUGAAAACUCGAGGCUCAACUUCGAGCUGUCGGUGGAAACUUUCUGGCUAGAGUCCGGAAGAGGAGAAUGGAAUUCCUGGUGUAGCGGUGAAAUGCGCAGAUAUCGGGAGGAACACCAAUGGCGAAGGCAGCUCGCUGGGACGGUACUGACGCUGAGACGCGAAAGCGUGGGGAGCAAACAGG